UAUGGUGCAAGGAUGAGCAAAUAUGGUGCGAGGAUGAGCAAACAUAAUACAAGAAUGAGCAAACAUGUUGCAAGGAUGAGCAAAUAUAGUGCAAGAAUAACUACAAUAUUAUCUACAACAGCAACUACGUAGUGUUAUGAAUGUAAAUUUGUAGUAAGAUAAUGGAAAUUGAAGCAAAUUUGAAGACCUUUUUUGUUUUUUGUUACAAAGCUCUUGAAGAAAGUUAACUUUAUAACUUAAAAAAGCCGGGUGGACGUUUCCUACUUCAUUGCAGAAUUUCAGGACUGUUAUUACAGUUCGUUUGAAAAUACAAACGAAUUGUAAUAACGAACGAACGAACGAACGAACGAACGAACGAACGAACGAACGAACGAACGAACGAACGAACGAACGAACGAACGAACGAACGAACGAACGAACGAACAAAAAAGCGUAUUGCAAUAACAUACUUUUACACAUCUCUACAAGAGCAUCUAGAAAGUUUAUAUUCAUUAACUAAUUCAUAAAAUUAUAAUUGGUUAUUCAUUUAAUUAAACCAACAUAAAUAAUUAACAAUGUAUGAAAAAAAUAUUUUAAAACGAGCAUUGCGUAAAUCUUUAUGAGCUUUAAAGAACAGUAAAAAAGUGAUAUUUAGUGGAUAUAUGAAUUUCAUAAUGAGAAUUUUAAACUUGUAAGAGAUAUUAAUCGAAAUAUGGCAGCCAAACCUGGUGCAACGUCUGACGCAAAAAAACCACCAGAAACGGCAAGAGAACUACCCGAAGCAGAUAUAUACGAAGUUGAGAAUUUCGGAAGUGAUGUGAUAAACGAAGAACUCGCAAAACUUCAAGCUGAUUUAAAAGAAAAGCUAAAGAAUAGAAAGGAUAUUAAAGCACAGUGCGUUGCUUACAACAACUUAGGAACAGCGUUUUUUCGUUUAUUUAAAUUCGACAAAGCAGAAUUAUGCCACCAUCAUCAUUUUUUGCUGUCGAAACCAGUUACAACAGCAAUACCAUUCGCAGAUAAACGACCAGGAGAUAAAAACGAAGAGAAAAUUGCACUAGUUAAUUUAGGUUGUGUUUAUAAAGCGAAAAGAGAGUUCGAACUCGCUCUUCAAACUUUUAAAAAUGCUUUGGACCUUGCAGAAGAGUUAGGAGAUUUAAAAUCUUCUGCUAGAACUUUAAACAACAUGAGUAAUAUCUACGAGCAAGUUUGCGAUUUUGAUUCCGCAGUCGAGUGUGAGUUGAAGCGAAUGGACUUAGUAACAGAUCUAUGUGAUGUAAAUGGACAAAUCAAAUGCGCUGCAGCACUUGGAAGCUUGUAUCAACUUAAAGGAGAGAUCAGAGACAGCAUAAUGUAUUACGAAAAAGCUGUUAUCAAUUUGAGAAUGAAAAUCGUGAAACAACAAAUGGCGGCCAUGGAAGAUCCAGAAAAAAUCGAAGAAAAUCCAGCUUUUUAUGACGGAUGAUCCAACGACCUGAGAUUGUGUUUUACAGUCUUUUGAAAGUGGUAUAAACCUCAUGGUUCCAUAUAGAUGGUUAUUUAUUCACGUUAUUCUCAAAGAAGCAUCAGUUGAAUAUGGUUGAUAGUUUCAGUUACCAGCAAAUAGUUCACAACAAUCGGGAUUAGAAUGAGUAACACGAACGAAAUGAUCAACAACGUUGGAAGCAACAAAUCAUUAAGGUUUACCAUUACAGAUGAUUUUUUACCUUCAUGGCCUUCCCGUGCUUUUGGACUUACACGUUGUUUUUUACUAUGCAAGAUCUUCUUUGUGAUAUAAUAAUAUGUAAAUGUUACUGUCACCAAAAACAAAGAAAGCAACACAGGAAAAAUGUAUCUACCAAAUACCAAAUAAACAUAAUCAAAUCCAUUUUUUACCAUCCUAACAUAAAUUGUGAGUACGGUGCAUAUACAAAAGUACAAAAUCCAAUUACAAAUCAUUAAGUACUUUGUUUUUCUACUCGACCAGUAUAAUGAAUAUCGUAGGUUUAAGUAUACUUCAGCGAAUCGAUCGAUAGUAAGAGCAAACAUUAUAAUACUAUAGCUCAGUAUGAGUGCAAGUGAUAGAACUGAUAGAUAAUCAUGUUCAGCGGAAAUCGAUAACAGAAUGGCACGUAUCAGAUCGCACACAGAUAUGAGUAUUUCUGAUAAACUUAAGUUGAGUAGUAUUAUUUUUUGUGUGGUAGUAAUACUUGCAGGUUUUUUCCAAAGAAAAUAAGCUCCAAUGCUGUGAAUUAUAAAUGCCACAGUUGGGAAAAUAGUAAAUAAUCCGGCGUAGUAUUUAAAUUCUUCCAUCAGACUUCUUCAAACGUUAUAUUUCAACAAGGAAACAUUCAUUUUCUGCAGCUAGAUGUUUUUUUAAAUUUUCUUUUCUAAUUUGUAAUUAGAUUUGAUAUUUU